rnacentral:sRNA from 2 species
UCCGGGCGGACGCCGAGUCCUGCCGCCGCGCGGAUGACCGGUCGACAGGAGUGGAUCGGCAGGAGUGGAGGACCCAAGCACGACGGGUCGCCGGCACGUGCGCGAUGCGCGUUCCGAGCAGCCCUUGGGGUGAAGCCGCGAAAGCGGCCGGGCUACUUCGCCAGCCCGAAUCCGACAGGUCAUCCUUCACAGGCGGCUGACGAAGGGUUG